ACGUAGGACCCAAGCGUUAUCCGGAGUGACUGGGCGUAAAGAGUUGCGUAGGCGGUUAGUAAAGCGAAUAGUGAAAUCUGGUGGCUCAACCAUCAACCCAUUGUUCGAACUCACUAACUCGAGAGUGGUAGAGGUACUUGGAAUUUCUUGUGUAGGAGUGAAAUCCGUAGAUAUAAGAAGGAACACCAAUGGCGUAGGCAGAGUACUGGACCAUUUCUGACGCUGAGGCACGAAAGCGUGGGGAGCGAACCGGA
rnacentral:rRNA from 1 species